UGGGCUCCAGCGUUCCUUAGUCCUCAGCCUCCGAAAGUGCUAGGAUUACAGGCAUGAGCCACUGCACCCAGCCUCACAGAGCUCCUAAAUUAUAAGAGUGGGGAUUUGAACCCAGAUGAGAAAACUGAGGCACAUAGGGUUAAGUAGAUUGUCCAAGGUCACUGCUGAUAACUGCAGCACUGGGAUUUGAAGCACUGAACUCUGCUGACUCCUGAGAAGGCAGCCUUGACCUGGAGCCCUACAAUCCUCAUGAGCAGUCUGAAUUUUAUUCCAAGUGCAGUAGGAAGCCAUCAGAUGAUUUUAAAUGGAGAAGUAAGACACUUGGAUCUGUGCCUAAAAGAAUCACUCUGCUGUUGAGUUCCUGAGAAGCAGACUCUGAGAUAGAGAUCAUUUUGUGGGAAGCUUAUUGGGAGGUGCUCUUGGGAUCCACACCUGUAGAAGGACUGGCUCUUUAAGAUCCAAAGGAGAAGCCAACCAAAUGAAAGCAUUCUUGGCAACCAGGUAUUCCUGACCAGUCCCCGGCUCUCUGACAAGCUGUGUCACAAUAUUGAUCCAGUGAUUAAAUUUCAUGCUGAACUGACUCAAGUCCUAAAUAAUGUCCCUGUUAGAGAGCUACUGUCUGAGAGGCUGACUCCACAUGCCUGGUGGUUCAUUAGUGCCUCAAGAGGCAGACGAGAGCCAAGGAAGUGAAAGGAGGUCGUGGUUUCUGCACUUUGUGUCCUGCAAGAGGGGCUCUUGUUUGGGUAACAAAAAAGGCACUGGAUUGAGGCUUCAAAAACUGAGCUUCCAGACAUGAGUAGCAAGUCACUUUGUGACUAUGCGCAAGGUAUUUCCUUUCUGAGCCUUUGCCACCCCAAACACAAGCCAGUUUGGCAGGGAGGAGGGGUGGACUCGAUGGUCCUUGAAGAUUCACAACAGCUGCUCUUUAUGGAGGGCUUCUGAUGUGCUAAGCACUCUACAUGAAUUAUCUCCUUUAAUUCCUACCAGAAUCCUUUGAGGUGAGCAUUAUUAUGCCCAUUUUAUAAUUGAGGAAACUAAGCCUCAGAGAGGUUAAGUAACUUGCUCCAGGUAACACAGCUACUAAACGUUGGAAGCAUUUAAAUGCCAGCAGUGGAGCCUACAGUAUUUCAGAUUUCUUAUAUUUAUUAACCGUACAACUUGGGGGAAGAUUAUUUAUCCAUAGUCAUAUACAGUUAGAUCUGCAACUCCAGCAGAGUCAGUCUGACUCCCAGCCUCUCUCCUAACCUCUGGCUGUCUUGAUCUUGGGCUGGAAUCGAGUGUGAGGCUCUGUAGAAUUGACUUUGGCAUUAUCUCAAGGGAACCAGAGUUUGGGGCAGGCAUAGGGGAAUGAGACUUGAUCCUGACAAGACUGCAACAGCUUUAUUGACAAAUCUCAUCCUGACAAAAAGCCAGAUCUCAUCCUGCCUCAGGGGCCUUUCAGCCUCCACUCCUUGCAUUCUCUGCAGCAGAGACAGCCAGUCCUGGGGCUCAAACAUGCAGCCAAGGCAAACGCCAUCUCCUCCUUCCCAGCACAGCGAGGUAUGGUGGGCAGCAGAGGGGCAUCCCUGAGCACCUUCUCACCUGCUGUGGGAAAUAAAACAAACAUAAGAAGCCAAGUGGUUGCAUAUGAACCUGGCUGGGGUUCCAGUGUUGGUCAGGGUGCAGGAAGAAGGGCACUGGUGCUUUAUGUGGGUGGUGGAAAUCCAUACCUCUGUGCAGGAAAAUUUGUGUAUUUUUACUGAGUCUCUUAAAAAUGUGCAUGCCUUGUUGAGGAUGCUCUCACUUAAUUAAAUAGGAAUAUAUUUGCCUGGAAACAAGACUAGAAGUUUCACCACUAAAUAGUGAUUGUUUCUGUGCAGUGGUUUUUAAAAGAUAUAUAUUUUUUAAUUCCUAUUUAUAUGAUGUAUAUAUUUGUAUUUAAUGAAUAGACCAUUUUUGAGCAGUUUUAGGUUUAUGAAAAACUUGAGCAGCAAAUGCAGAGCUCCCACUCCCCAUCCCAAACCCCCCCACGCAGUUUCCCCACGCAUUAACGUGGUACAUUUAUUACAAUGGAUGAAUCAACAUUGGGACAUUAUUAUCAACUAAAGCCUGUAGUUUACAUUUGGAUUCACUCUCAGAGUUAUACAUUCUAUGGGUUUGGACAAAUGUAUAAGGAUGUGUAUCCCCCAUUAUAGCAUCAUACAAAGUAGUUUCAUUGCCCUAAAAAUCCUAGUCAUGAAUUAUUUGCCUACAC
rnacentral:lncRNA from 1 species